CAGGUGCUGCAUGGCUGUCGUCAGCUCGUGUCAUGAGAUGUUGGUUAAGUCCGCAACGAGCGCAACCCCUAUCUUUAAUUGCCAUCAUUCAGUUGGGCACUUUAGAGAGACUGCCGGUGUUAAGCCGGAGGAAGGUGGGGAUGACGUCAAGUCCUCAUGGCCUUUAUGUCUAGGGCUACACACGUGCUACAAUGGGUGGUACAAAGAGCAGCUAACUCGCGAGAGUAUGCAAAUCUCAAAAAGCCAUCCUCAGUUCGGAUUGGAGUCUGCAACUCGACUCCAUGAAGUUGGAAUCGCUAGUAAUCGCGGAUCAGCAUGCCGCGGUGAAUACGUUCCCGGGCCUU
rnacentral:rRNA from 1 species